rnacentral:rRNA from 1 species
GUACACGCCUUAAACGAUGAAUACUAGACGUUGGGGUUAAACUCAGUGUCGCAGCUAACGCAUUAAGUAUUCCACCUGGGGAGUACGAUCGCAAGGUUGAAACUCAAAGGAAUUGACGGGGGCCCGCACAAGCAGUGGAGCAUGUGGUUCAAUUCGAUGCAACGCGAAGAACCUUACCUGGGCUUGACAUAUAAGCUAAUGUUGAUGAAAGUCAGCGUCCCGCAAGGGGAGCUUAAACAGGUGCUGCAUGGCUGUCGU